rnacentral:ncRNA from 1 species
CAGGUGCUGAUAAAAAAGUUAAAAGGGAAACAGGUUAGAAUCCUGUACGAUCUCGUCACUGUAUUUGAGGAGUAGUAAUCUAUAAUAUAAGUCACUGGAAAACCGGGAAGGCAGAUUACUAUGAUGAUUCAUAAGCCAGGAAACCUGCCUGUUGU